rnacentral:lncRNA from 1 species
CAACAUCCACCCCAUCUGUGGUCUGCUGGAGCAUGUGAAGGGGUUAGUCCUGCAGACACAAAGCUGCAGGAUCUCCAUGACACAGGACAACAGGAUAACCACGAGGAGUUCCAGCUGAAGCAGGAGGAUCCCUUGAGUUCAGGACCUCAAAACCAGUUUGGGCAACACAAUGGCACCCUACCUCCCCUUCGCCUAUAAAAAGCACAGCUGGGAUGGGACAUGGUGAUGAACAGUUCACUGGUACAGUGUUCACCUAGCACAAGUUAGGUUGUAGCUUUUAAUUCCAGUCCCUGUCCCCUACCCUGAAC